UUUUAACUAAAUUUUAAUCUGUUAGGAGAUUUUUUAAAAUCAAAAGAAAUUGGCGGUAGUUUUAAGAGUUAGGGGAAUAUGUGUUUUAAUUUGAUAAUCCACAAUAAAUCAACCUUAUUUUACAUCAUGUAUACUGUUGUCGCAUAUAUACCUUAAAAAGAGUGUGUAAUAAUUAUUCAAAUUCACGUCAAAUCAAAGUGCAGACUAUAGUAAGGUAUACAUGUAUUACAUAAACUAUUUUAUUAUUAGAAUAAAUAAAAUAUUAGGACUUAACAGUAAUAAACUUUUAUUAUAAUUUAUGAACAUCUUCCAAAACUAUGCACACAUCGCCCGUCACUUUCAAUUAUAUG
rnacentral:rRNA from 1 species